rnacentral:rRNA from 1 species
AUUUUGGACAAUGGGGGCAACCCUGAUCCAGCCAUCCCGCGUGUGCGAUGAAGGCCUUCGUGUUGUAAAGCACUUUUUGCUGGGAAGAAAAGGCUCUGGCUACUACCUGGAGCUGCUGACGGUACCUGCAAAAUACGCACCGGCUAACUACGUGCCAGCAGCCGCGGUAAUACGUAGGGUGCAAGCGUUAAUCGGAAUUACUUGGCGUAAAGCGUGGGCAGGCGGUUCGGCAAGAAGGAUGUGAAAUCCCAGGGCUUAACCUUGGAACUGCAUUCUUAACUGCCGGGCUAGAGUAUGUCAGAGGGGGGUAGAAUUCCGCGUGUAGCAGUGAAAUGCGUAGAGAUGAGGAGGAAUACCGAUGGCGAAGGCAGCCCCCUGGGAUAAUACUGACGCUCAUGCACGAAAGCGUGGGGGGCAAAC